UUUAAGCUGAAAAACCACAUCCUGGUUUGAGGGCCAAGAGGUUGUGGGGAUGCAGGGCAAGCAACUUUACAGAAGCUUAUUCUGGCAAUUACUGAUAAGCAAAGGCCAGUAAUUCUGGCUGUUACUGAUGAGAAAAGGCAAGCAGCUUUACAUAGUGGGCAUUUUUCAGAGCAAGCUAGCAGUUUUUAUUUACAGAAGCCAAGGUCAGUAGUUAUUGCGAGGAGAAUGGGGCAGCCGUUACAACUUAUUUUUGGAAAAACAGCUUUGUCUUGUAUAAAAUGGCGUUGCUUAGGUUCUAACUCUAAGCCAGCUAUAGCACAA